UGUCGAGGUUUUCUUCGGCAGUUAACUGCAGCCGGUUUUUAAUUCCUCAACAGUUAACUGCCGAUAGGGCAU
rnacentral:pre_miRNA from 1 species